rnacentral:rRNA from 1 species
UACGAGAGGGCCGCUACCACGCGAGUGGAUGCCAAUCCCCAAAACCUCUCUCAGUUCGGACUGGAGUCUGCAACCCGACUCCACGAAGCUGGAUUCGCUAGUAAUCGCGCAUCAGCCACGGCGCGGUGAAUACGUUCCCGGGCCUUGUACGCACCGCCCGUCAAGCCAUGGGAGCCGGGGGUACCUGAAGUGCGUAACCGCGAGGAGCGCCCUAGGGUAAAACUGGUGACUGGGGCUAAGUCGUAACAAGGUAUC